AUGUCAAGUCAGGAGGAUUCUCUGCUUCUGGAUGACAGUGAACCUGAGAUCAUGGAACAUGAGUUUAGAAAGAAGUGGAGGCAGGAGGGCCUAUCAUUUGCAAAUGGCACAGAAGAGCAAAAUCAAAUCCUGGAAGAGAGCAAAAAUGAGAUGAAUUUACUCAAGAUCAUCUCCCUGGAGACUGCCAGCUCGAUUAGAGCUAAAUUGCUAUUGAUGACUUCAAAGAAUCAGAUCAUGUAAUUUGACAUAUAAGGAUAUAUGGCACAAAUAAUCAAAUAUUUAAAUAAUGAAAACACCAAAUGAAUUAAAUAUUCCUGUUAUAUAGAACUAUUAGAAUUACUUAAGAGACCUUCCAGAUGCAAUCUGUUAUGUUAAGUACAAUGAUUCUGUGUUUCCAUGUGCCGGGCAGAAUUUAAAAUGCAAGGGAUCAUAUAAGCAUAGCAGACCAAUUUUUAAACUAACUGAAGCCCCAACAUUUCAUUCUGAUGGGUGAUUGCACACUACCACAUCUCUUCUCUUUGUCUUUCUUCUCUUCUAACAUAUUCAGCAGUUAAUUUAGAAAGUAAGAUGUCCCUUUAGAAACAAAGAAGACAUUAAGAAUUUUCUUGCAGAGGGUGCCAAGUAAGAACCUACCCUCUUGCUCAUCUCGGUAAACAUUUGCUUUCAAGAUUGCUGUAGUAUCCCAUUAUCAUCAAGUCCCACCAAGAAGGAAAAUUAAGUCUUGUAAAAAAAAAUCACAAUUUUGAUUGUGCCAAAACUCCUCCAUUUAAUAUACCCCAAACCAAUAUGUGCAGUCUGUCACUUGAGGUCCUAGGGUUUCCUCGAUCCCAAGCCUCAGCCAACCUGGACUCGUCACAAUUUGUCAGGCAGAUUGGUGCUUGACUUCUUGAUUCUUGCUCCUGGGCAAUGACUCAAACUCUGUCCACCUAGAAUUCUUGACUUCUCAUUUACCCAUUCAUUCCCUCGAGAACUCAGGACAUAUGUACUUGUUCCUUGGUCUGUGCCAGUAUCUGUCCCUCUCUCAAUCCUAACCCUGCUUCAAGAGUGAGGUGUCUCAUUCAAAGCCAUACAAUUAUUCCAUGACAUCUUUCUUUAUCUUUCUCAUCAAGAGUAAUUUAUUGAUGUAUCCAUUUCAUCAUUUAUUCAUUUAAAUAUUGUGUUGAAUGUCUAUUAUAUGCUGAGUCCUAAUAAUACAAGUACAAAUGAAGUCUGUUCCCUGACUUUAUAGAACUUGAAGCUGAUUUAAAAAGCAAACCAGUGAAACAGCAGGUACCCCACAAUUAUAGAGUGGAAGAGGGCAAACAUGUAUAAUGUGUGCCCCUAGAACCCUAAACCACCCAGGAAUGGCCAGGGUCCUCUCUCUAGAGAAAAGAACUGAUGAUCUGAGCCUAGAAAUUCAAGGAGAUUUAGCUAAAUAUAGAAAAGAAAGGAGAAUGUUCUUUGCAGAAAGAAAAGGCACAGGAAAAUAGCAUAAGAAGUAUGAGGAAAACCGUGGCAUUCUAGCGGGCCAGGCUGCACACACACGGUAGUCAUUAAGGUGGCUGAAAUGAAAGAAGCUUGGUGGGUGAGUGACCAGAGAUGAGAUUAAGAUGUGAAUUGCAAGUAAAUCUUGAAACAUGUCUGAGAACUAAGCUAAGACAUUUAUAUUUUAUCCUAAAUGAUUUGGGGAAGGAUCGAGAAGUGUUGAGUGCAGAGGGGAAAAAUUGGAAUUUAAUUUUGAACGUUACCAUCGUCCACCGAGAUACUUGGAGCUGAAGAAAAGAAUUCCCAACAAAAGCCUGAUCUCAAAAUGGAUGAAAUCCACUAUUUGUAUUAAUUAUCCUUUUAUUUUUCUCAAAGAACAAGAAGUCCAGGGGUGGGUAGUUUACUGCUACAGCAACUCAAUGAUGCUGUCAAGAGCUGAUGUUCUUUCUGUCUGGUUCAGCCUCCUUACCUCACAGCCUUUUCUUCUCCUGCAUGUCCCCUUCUGGUCACCAAACAGCUGCUGCAAUUUCAGGUGUCAAGUUUGUUCUCUGGGAAGAAAAUAGGUAGAAGCAGUAUAAGGUCAAGAAGGAAAAAAGCUAACGUUGUCCCUUCUUAACAGAUAAAUAAACACUUGCUUGAAGUGUCACUCAGGAGACUCCUAUGUAUACCUACUUGGCCAGAACAGUGUUACAUGGUAGUCCCUAGCUGCAAGGGACAGUAAAAAAAAAAAAAAAAAAAAAAAAGAACUUUCCUUUCAGAAAUGGCUUAUGUGUGCAGUCACCAUCUGCCAUGUCCAUCAUUGACCUACAUUUGGUAAGCUUUUAAAAUAUCAUAUCUUGGGGCACCUGAAGGGCUCAAUGGUUGAGCAUCUGCCUUUGGCUCAGGUCAUGAUCCUGGGAUCCUGGGAUUCAGUCCCACAUUGGACUCCCCUCUCUGUGAGGAGCCUACUUCUCCCUCUGCCUAUGUCUCUGCC
rnacentral:lncRNA from 1 species